GGUGUUGUAGCUCAGUGGUAGAGGUCUUGCCCAGCAAGCAUGAGGACUGGGUUCGAUCCUCAGCACCA
rnacentral:tRNA from 1 species